rnacentral:pre_miRNA from 1 species
UUGAAGGAUUUGAAGACUUCAACUUGCAUACUUAGAGGAUUUGAAGACUUCAACUUGCAUACUUUGAGGAUUUGGAGACUUCAACU